GUAGGUGGCAAGCGUUGUCCGGAAUUAUUGGGCGUAAAGCGCGCGCAGGCGGUUCUUUAAGUCUGAUGUGAAAGCCCACGGCUCAACCGUGGAGGGUCAUUGGAAACUGGAGAACUUGAGUACAGAAGAGGAAAGCGGAAUUCCACGUGUAGCGGUGAAAUGCGUAGAGAUGUGGAGGAACACCAGUGGCGAAGGCGGCUUUCUGGUCUGUAACUGACGCUGAGGCGCGAAAGCGUGGGGAGCAAACAGGGAUUAGAUACCCUGGUAGUCCACGCCGUAAACGAUGAGUGCUAAGUGUUAGGGGGGUUUCCCGCCCCCCUUAGUGCUGCAGCUAACGCAUUAAGCACUCCGCCUGGGGAUACGGCCGCAAGGCUG
rnacentral:rRNA from 1 species